rnacentral:rRNA from 1 species
GAUGAACGCUGGCGGCGUGCCUAAUACAUGCAAGUCGAGCGAACAGACGAGGAGCUUGCUCCUCUGACGUUAGCGGCGGACGUGUGAGUAACACGUGGAUAACCUACCUAUAAGACUGGGAUAACUUCGGUAAACCGGAGCUAAUACCGGAUAAUAUAUUGAACCGCAUGGUUCAAUAGUGAAAGACGGUUUUGCUGUCACUUAUAGAUGGAUCCGCGCCGCAUUAGCUAGUUGGUAAGGUAACGGCUUACCAAGGCAACGAUGCGUAGCCGACCUGAGAGGGUGAUCAGCCACACUGGAACUGAGACACGGUCCAGACUCCUACGGGAGGCAGCAGUAGGGAAUCUUCCGCAAUGGGCGAAAGCCUGACGGAGCAACGCCGCGUGAGUGAUGAAGGUCUUCGGAUCGUAAAACUCUGUUAUUAGGGACGAACAAGUGUGUAAGUAACUAUGCACGUCUUGACGGUACCUAAACAGAAAGCCACGGCUAACUACGUG